rnacentral:lncRNA from 1 species
AUUUGUUCCUUUGCUCCACUCUUACCAACCUUUGCUCUGAUUUGUGCCAUGAGGACUAGAAACCUGGAAACCUACGUUUCCCAGCUACUCCAUCUCCCCACACCGCAGGCUUUCUGUUAUGUUCUGAUGAUGAACUACUGCAGGAACAUAUCAGGAAAGCCAAGAGAAUCCACAGACCCUUUGAAGGAACUGUACCACCCCUGCAGACUCCCUGAGAUGCCAAAAACUGUGAAUCUGCUUGCUUUCUCAACUGGGAGGCUCAUGGUCUGGGGUUCCCCAGUGAGGAUUGUCAGGCCUCUGAGCCCAAGCUAAGCCAUCAUAUCCCCUGUGACCUGCACGUAUACAUCCAGAUGGCCUGAAGCAACUGAAGAUCCACAGAAGAAGUGAAAAUAGCCAGUUCCUGCCUUAACUGAUGACAUUCCACCAUUGUAAUUUGUUCCUGCCCCACCCUAACUGAUCAAUUGACUUUGUGACAAUACACCCUCCCUACCCUUGCGGUAAUGUAAUUUGUGAUAUUCCCUCACCCUUGUGAAGGUACUUUGUACUAUACACCCUCCCCACCCUUGAGAAGGUACUUUGUAAUAUUCUCCCCUGCCCUUAGGAAUGUACUUUGUAAGAUCCACCCCCUGCCCACAAAAAAUUGCUCCUAACUCCACCGCCUAUCCCAAACCUGUAAGAACUAAUGAUAAUCCCACCACCCUUUGCUGACUCUCUUUUCGGACUCAGCCCACCUUCACCCAGGUGAUAAAAAAGCUUUAUUGCUCACACAAAGCCUGUUUGGUGGUCUCUUCACAUGGAUGUGCAUGACAAGGAUGUGUGUUUGGAGGCAGGUUUUCCCCUUUCGCCCUUGGUAACUCACAGUUUCUCUCCUGUCUUAUGGAAUUUGCAGAGGCAUGCUGCUUAUUUCAAAUAAUCUGUGAAUUAUUUCAGUUUUCUUGGUACAUUCCUGCAGUGGUUCUUGGAGAAAAUCCGCUGUAUGAGUCUCCACACACUGUUCUAUCUGUCCAAGUGGGAGCUGCACAAUUGUCCUGUCUGCUAUCUGCCAUCUGCCUCCUAAAUCCCCCUGUCUUUUCUUCAGCCUCUCAUCUUCACCCCUGCAUACACACAUAUACAGGCACACAAAGUUGUCACAGAGCCUUUCAAGAAUAUUUUGAAUACUUAUCUGAGUAUAUAAAGUAGAGAUCUGAAGCUCUAAAAAUGAAAGUUUUUAAAAAUAAAAUUUGGCUUAGGAUGUGGAAUCUGUCCUCAUAUCAUUAACAAAAAUAUGCUUUGGAUACCACUUUGACAGUCCUCCAACACCUAUAUCAGUCAACAGGCCAACACAAAACAGAUGGCACACUCCAAAUAAGGCACCUGGAGGAGGGUGCAUCUACAACGGACCUAGUUACAGAGGUGUUAAGUACAGGGGAAUCGCGAGAGGUAGUGUUGCAAUCUAAGACUCAGUAAAGAGAAGAGAGAAGAGAUUAGUUAACAGAGAAUUUAGAACAGUGACCUGGACAAAGGUCAGCUUAUCUUGCAAGGAGAGAGUUAGGCAAAUAAUGCCCUGACCUCAUUCUGCAACUCCCCGCUAAACUUCUGGGGCUUCCCAUUGGUUGGACAUAGGGGAUGUUAGAACACAUGAGAACCUCUCAAAAUCCAUACAGGCCAGGCUCUCAGAGAAGACAGGAGAGUGAAAAACUGGCAGAAAGUGGACCUAAAGGAGAAAGUGAAAGAUGCUCAGAACAAUAUUCUUAUUCAGAGGUUAUACAAAGAUUGUUUUAAUUAAAUAUACAAUAUAUGCUGGAA